UACGUAGGGUGCGAGCGUUGUCCGGAAUUGCUGGGCGUAAAGAGCUCGUAGGUGGUUUGUCGCGUUGUUCGUGAAAACUCACAACUCAAUUGUGGGCGUGCGGGCGAUACGGGCAGACUGGAGUACUGCAGGGGAGACUGGAAUUCCUGGUGUAGCGGUGGAAUGCGCAGAUAUCAGGAGGAACACCGGUGGCGAAGGCGGGUCUCUGGGCAGUAACUGGCGCUGAGGAGCGAAAGCGUGGGGAGCGAACAGG
rnacentral:rRNA from 1 species